rnacentral:snRNA from 1 species
GGAUGUAAGGGCGAUCUGGCUGUGACAUCUGUUACCCCAUUGAUCGCCAGGGUUGAUUCAGCUAAUCUGGCUAGCUAGGCGGGUGUCCCUUCCUCUCUCACCACUCCAUGUUUGUCUCUCCUCAAGAUGCACACUCAGUCAAAGAGGAUGACUUUCCCGAAUAGAGGAGGACCUAUCUGCAGCAAGGGUAUAUGAGUAGCUGUGCUCCCCUGCUGCCUCCAAAGAAGCUCUCAGAUACAUAAAAUAUUUAUAAAGGAUUAAAAGAAGACACAAAUUAGAAAGGAAGAGAUCAAACUACCGUUAUUU